AGACCCCUCUUCAUCUCAGACAUUGAUCUCAAAGGUUAGUGAAGUUAUGAGCUUCAAACAUGAAUCCAGAAGUACAGGCAACAUUCUAGGAGAUACUUUUAAAUGACUCAGACCCAGAGCUGCCUGUUGGUUUCAUGAGUUUAUAUAUUAUAUUAUGUAUUAUAUAUAUAUUAUAAUAUAUAUUAUUUAGAGCCUCUCAGAAAGUAGCAGCGCCAUGUCGAAUGAAAAAAAUGUGACAGCGAAUAGGAAGCGAGUAAGAACUGGGUCAGAGGCUCGGUACAGUAUGACUCAGCAUUAUCUCACACACACACACACACUCCACAAAGCUCCAUGUGGAGCCUCCCUCUGACAUGCUGAGCUCUCCUUUGUUCCUGUAGCUCCUCCCACGCUGACACACAGGAGCAUCACCUGCUCUGCAUGACCACUGGAGCUCUCUAGGCCACGCCCAUGUGGAGCUCUCUAGGCCACGCCCACUUGGUCGAUUCCCUCGCUUGGGGACUUUAAAUUGCUUUAAUUGCUUCUCUGGGGUGGCAUCAAUCACCACCUCAACAGGCCAAUCCGACUGCACCUGGGUGCCAGAAGGCGAGCUGGCCAAUCGGCUGAGUGGGCCUGGUUAAAAAGACAGAAGACUGAAGAGUUAGGUGUGGUUUUUGAUUGUGUAAAUGUGUACACUGACACUGCAAGAGGUGGAGUUUGUGGUGAGAGGUUGUGGACAGUAGGUAAGUUUGGGGUACCCUGUACAUGUAUGCACUCAUGUAGGUACUUUGUGUCUGGAAACACUCGGCUAUUGGUUGUUGCUGCCUCUGUAUUGUUUUCACCGAACUUUGUUAGAGAAGCAAGUGAAGCCAUUUUGUCUUUCUUUUCAGAGAGGUAGAAGCCAGGCCGAGUUUUGAUAUCUUGAAUUUAUUGCUUUGGCACAACCACAACUGUCCCAAUCUCUCCCACGUCAUUGAACCUUUGUCUUGUGUGUUGGAAAUAAAUAUUAUUUGAACACUUUA